UGUGUUAUGGUGUAAUGGCACGAAAGUUUUUGGUACUUUAAGAGCUUACUAUAAAAGCUAACACUA
rnacentral:tRNA from 1 species